GGCCGGGUGGUGUAGCGGUUAUCACACCAGCUUUACAAGAUGCAAGUCUUCGAUCGCUGUUGGUCGCGAGUUCGAUCCUCGCCCUGGUCA
rfam:Blumeria graminis f. sp. tritici 96224 unplaced genomic scaffold Scaffold-53, whole genome shotgun sequence.